GACGAACGCUGGCGGCGUGCUUAACACAUGCAAGUCGAACGGAAAGGCCCUGCUUGCAGGGUACUCGAGUGGCGAACGGGUGAGUAACACGUGGGUGAUCUGCCCUGCACUUCGGGAUAAGCCUGGGAAACUGGGUCUAAUACCGGAUAGGAGCCAUUUUUAGUGUGAUGGUUGGAAAGUUUUUUCGGUGUAGGAUGAGCUCGCGGCCUAUCAGCUUGUUGGUGGGGUAAUGGCCUACCAAGGCGGCGACGGGUAGCCGGCCUGAGAGGGUGGACGGCCACAUUGGGACUGAGAUACGGCCCAGACUCCUACGGGAGGCAGCAGUGGGGAAUAUUGCGCAAUGGGCGCAAGCCUGAUGCAGCGACGCCGCGGGGGGGAUGACGGCCUUCGGGUUGUAAACUCCUUUCGCUAGGGACGAAGCUUUUUGUGACGGUACCUAGAGAAGAAGCACCGGCUAACUACGUG
rnacentral:rRNA from 1 species